rnacentral:rRNA from 1 species
CCUACGGGUGGCAGCAGUGAGGAAUAUUGGUCAAUGGGCGCUAGCCUGAACCAGCCAAGUAGCGUGAAGGAUGACUGCCCUAUGGGUUGUAAACUUCUUUUAUAUGGGAAUAAAGUACAGUAUGUAUACUGCUUUCCAUGUACCUUAUGAAUAAGGAUCGGCUAACUCCGUGCCAGCAGCAUCGGUAAUACGGAGGAUCCGGUCUUUAUCCGUAUUUAUUGGGUUUAAAGGGAGCGUAGGCUGUUUGUUAAGUCAGUUGUGAAAGUUUGCGGCGCAACCGUAAAAUUGAAGUUGAUACUGGCAGCCUUGAGUAAAGGAGAGGGAGGCGGAAUUCGUGGUGUAGCGGUGAAAUGCGUAGAUAUCACGAAGAACUCCGAUGGCGAAGGCAGGCUGCUGGACUGUAACUGACGCUGAUGCUCGAAAGUGUGGGUAUCAAACAGGAGUAGAUACCCUGGUAGUC